UCUCAGAUGUGCACGGCCAAGCAAAGUGAAGCUGCCAGAGACAUUUGUCAGGUGUCAGUCAGACCGACGUCCAACUUGUUCCACAGAGUCCUGACGACAUGGCUCAGCUGAGAAAAGACGGCGCUGAAGGACGGGUUGUUGUCGCAUGUUUACAGCUGGAAAACAGCACAACACAAAGCUGCUGACUGCAUGCUGUCACGCCGUCAGGGCGACCAGCACCGGGGCCGCGGUGAACAGCAGAGAACCCAGCAAGCAUCUGCGGCCGAGGGGCUCGCCUUAAAGCUCAGCGAGGCUGCGGAAAACGUCUGAAACGUGCAGGAAAAGGAGCAAAGAAACGCUCCAGGAAUCCUGUCAUCCAGUUAAAGUUCUUCUAUGUUUAAAUGAAAAGAGAAGGGAUUGGUGCUCAGUUCAUGGGCGGAGCAAACAGCCUGCACACAUUUCCUACUGAGCCAAUGAAAGCUAUUCUCAGCUCCAUGCGUUGAUUGCCGGCUGCUGUCUGCGCAGCCACAGACUGCAGCCGCAGCAGCUCAGCUUUUGUUUAGUUUUGUUUGGUUUUUUUGCGAAGGAGCUUUGCAAUUAUGGCAUAUCAGAGCUCCAACAGCUGUUUCAUUCCCGGUUAAGCUGCUGGAAGCCGUAAGACUCUCUGCAUACUGUUGUCAUUAGAUAAAUGAAAAACAAUCAAUUAGGGUUAAUUAAUUUCUCCCUGACAGAACUGGCUGUAUGAAAAUCCUGAAAAGGUCUGCGGGUGACCUCUCCAUACGCUGAUUAACAUCCGCUCAGCCACACCUUACGCUGAUGGGAUUAUCUGGUUUUAUUAAGUAAUUAUGCAGCAGAUUUCCUGCACAUGUUGUGGGCUAAAUAAAGCAUUAUCCACCACGGCACUCGGCUGCUCUUUCCCACCAACCUGACGGACAGAUGUGAGCGCUCUGCAGUGUGGGAGCGUAAUUAAAAACUAAACCGCAGGACAUUUAACCAUCCGACACCAGCCCAAUGGGCGAGCCGCUGCAGCCACCACACCAGGGGGAUCCGACCAAUCAGAGCAGCCGGGACACUUUCCCCGAACGGCUGUGCCCCUGAUUAUCCAACUGGACCCGUUAAUCCUUACAUUCCCAGACUCCACCUUGACCGUCCGGCUGUGUGGACGCUCACCCUGAUGGAUCUGUGGCAGCUCGCAUAUUUAGAAGAUUAAACACGACUAAAGUCACCGUCUGAGAGAAACGGAUGAGAACGAAGGAGGAAGACGUCCAACCACAGUUUCUAGUGCAGAUGAACGUGAAAUAUUCGCAUACUGGACACCGAGUGAGAGGAAAUGUCCCCAAAAGUGACUCCAAUUUGGAUAAACUUCCUGUUUAGUUGAACUAAAGACUGCGUCAUUCCCAGCUUCAUUACCAAACAGAUCAUAAACAAAGAAAUCAUGGCUCCACAGCUUGAAUGACCUCUGAGCUGGCAGCAGUCCACGCGGGCAGAGACAGAGGGAUUGUGGGAGAGUGGGUGUGUGUGCGCGGCCUCAUCCCGACUGCUGAAACCUGGCAGACUGAGGGUUUAAAUAUUAACAAGCCACACAUGGCCCUCCUCUUCCUCUGCGUCCCUGGAUGGAGGCAGCAGCAGCUCUCUCCACCAAGACAAACACGUCUGUGGCCAGACAUGCUGCAGGGGGUUUACAUUUUAAUGCCUUUGUUGGUUUUCCAAAAUAUGCUUCCAUCCCAUUCUGGACGGGAUCCCCGCAGGUCCACAAAGCCAGGUGACGUCUCCUUUUGAGACCCGAGCAGCAGCAGAGGUGCGGCGUCUUCACUUCCUGCUCGAGCUCGCACGACGCAGCAGAGUCCGACGGAAGGUGAAAGGUCGAGUGUGAUUCCUUUCAGCACAGAGCUAGGAACUCUGCUGCGGUUCACUUCAGUGGGAAUGCAGACGGACUGUCCUCGGACCAAAGGGAGGAGAUGCUGUGAGCAAAAACCUCAAACACGGAGAGCAUCCUUUAUUUUGAAUGCAACACCAGACGACAAUGACGUGCAGCUGUGUUUCAUGAUGCCUGUGAGCAAGGCAGCAAG